AUAGAUAUAGAUAUCUAGCUAUAGAUAUAGAUAUAGAUAUAGAUAUAGAUAUAGAUAUAGAUGUAGAUAGAUAUAGAUAUAUAA
rnacentral:miRNA from 1 species